UCACCAGGGGCCGGUUGCACCAACUGGGCGUAAGCCUGGUCGUAACUACGCCUGGUCGUAACUUGGCGUUCUAAGUCCAACCUAACCGUUACGCCGGUUGCACCAACUGGGCUUAGCGUUCUUUUCACUAAGACCAAGGCGUAAAUCCUACGCCUGGUCAGGGGGAGGCGUAGGCUGUGUCCCAAUUCAGGGGACGCAUCCUUCGAAGGCUGCAUUCGAAGGAUGCGUCGACGCCGAUUGCGUCACAGCGACGCGCCAAGUGCUGUCCCAAUUCCAAGGGUCCUUCAAAUGCGGCCUACGAAUGCAGCCUUCUUUUCCCGGAUUUUAAGGAUGCAUCGGCUGUAUCCUUCGCGGCCCAACGUAUCCCAAGAUCCUUCACGGCCCAACGUAUCCCUCCCAAGAUUCAUUGCGCAGUCAAUCCAAAAAAUAAAACAAUAAUGGCGGAGAAUGUGGAUUUGACUUUUUCAUUUAAAUGGAGCAAGGAGCAUACUGCUCAAUUGAUCAAACUCAGGGGGGAGAACGACGAGCUCUUCACCGGGGUGAAACAUUCGGCGAGUGUGGCUUGGGGGAUUGCAAGUAUCCAGGGUCAGGAGAGGGGAGGUGGGAAACCCACUGCUGCCACUUGGCCCUGGUUUGUCCCCAUGGAUAAGGUAUUGGAUUGGGACAGAGGCAUUCCACCAACCCCCCUGUCCUAAUUGCCUCCAUCCCUGAGAACACACCAGGGCCAAGUACAGCAGUGGUGGAUCAGGAGGUGGAGGACAAGGAUCAGGAGGAGGAAAGACAGCGAGGGCCAAGGUCCAGAAAGAGGGACAGAGAGGAAGACAUGUUCCAGAGUCGCUCACUAUCUUCCGAAAAGGACUCAAGAUUCACCUGUUCAGAGUCCACCUCGACUGCAUAGCCACCCUCCCCCUUCUGGCCACCAUUGUACACUGUGUUGUAUUGUAUUAUAGUACUUAACUGUGUAGCAACUGCAGUAGCUGCUAUCAUGGCUGUAACACGGGGAAUGGGUUAGCCUAGCGAUUGUGGUACUUGCACUUGGUUCUAUGAACAUCCUUUCUGUACCGACAGCGAUAUAUUGAUGCACUUCUUGUGACAAAUGUACUUAUUGUAAGUCGCUUUGGAUAAAAGCGUCUGCUAAAUGCCCUAAAUGUAAAUGUAAGAUGUAAAUGUUCCAGUUAAUAAAAGAGGACAUGAGGCUACAAAGGGGAGGCAGAGGAGAGGAAAGCCCAGGAAAGCAGGGAAAGAAUGGAUAGGUUUUUCUCAAUUUUGGAGCGUUUGGUGGACAAAUAACUUAUGGUCUGUUAUAUUUAACGCAUUGUUUAUUAUUUACAUAUUUAUUGAAACUAACUUAUUUAACUAACUAUUUAACUAACUUUUUUGAUUAACUAUUUAUUAAAACCCUUACUAACUUUUUUGUAUUGACUAAUGUAUUCGUAUGAAACAUAUAUACAACAAUAAAACUAUUUGCAACAAACAUUCAUGUGACUAUUUACAACAAUUAUUAUAAAACUACUAUAUACAAAAACAUAAUGAUCAAUAAUAAUUUUUGUUGGUUUCUUUUUUUCGCGCUGUCUGGUUUAACUUCUGUUAACAGGUCAGUUCAGCUGUCAGGGUUGCUAGGUGACAGGAGCAGCGUGGUCACGCAAGUGAAAGGGCGGUAACGGUUUGUUACGUAAACCAGAAAUGCUCCGUAGGCUAGACCGUCCCAUUUCUUCGGCCUUCGGAGUGUCCUUCGCGGUCUACGAAGGCCGCAUCCUUCGAAGGACGCGGUCUACGAAGGACGCGUCCUAUGAAUUGGGACACAGCCGUAGAGUCGAAAUUACUGCUGUUUCCAUAGCAAUUACAAUAAUAAAAAAAAACGUUACAAUCAAUCCAUCCAGCGCUAAUAUGGCACGUAUUAUCC
ensembl:lncRNA